rnacentral:rRNA from 1 species
GUAGGGAAUAUUGGGCAAUGGAAGGAAUUCUGACCCAGCCAUGCCGCGUGCAGGAAUACAGUCCUAUGGACUUUAAACUGCUUUUAUUAUAGAGUAACCUGGGGGACGUGUCCCCCACUGCAAGUAUAUAAUGAAUAAGCAUCGGCUAACUCCGUGCCAGCAGCCGCGGUAAUACGGGGGAUGCAAGCGUUAUCCGGAUUUAUUGGGUUUAAAGGGUGCGCAGGCUGAUCGGUAAGUCAUGGGUGAAAAGUCACUGCUUAACAGUGAUCGUGCCUAUGAUACUGCCGGACUAGAGUUUAAGAGGUGUAACUGGAAUGUGAUGUGUAGCGGUGAAAUGCUUAGAUAUGUCACAGAACGCCAAUCGUGAAGACAGGUUACAAACUUAAUACUGACGCUCAUGCACGAAAGCGUGGGGAUCAAACAGGAUUAGAAACCCCUGUAGUCC